CUUUGGUUUCGACGCCCCCAAAUAGUCAUCUACUUGAUCCAUUUUAUACUUUUCCAGAAUGCUUUUGAGAUUGCAUUCUUCUUCUGGAUCUGGGUUCAAUAUGGCUUUGACUCCUGCAUAAUGGGACAAGUCCGUUACAUUAUUCCGAGGCUUAUUAUUGGUGUGUUCAUUCAGGUACUCUGCAAUUACAACACUCUAUCCCUAUAUGCCAUAAUCACUUAAAU